rnacentral:rRNA from 1 species
UGCGUAGGUGGCCGGGUAAGUCCGAUGUGAAAUCUCCGAGCCUAACUCGGAAACUGCAUCGGAUACUAUUCGGCUGGAGGGUUGGGAGGGGGGGACGUGGAAUACUUGGUGUAGCAGUGAAAUGCGUAGAUAUCAAGUGGAACACCAGUGGCGAAGGCGAGUCCCUGGACAACUCCUGACACUGAGGCACGAAAGCUAGGGGGAGCAAACA